GCCUGAGAAACGGCUACCACAUCCAAGGAAGGCAGCAGGCGCGCAAAUUACCCACUCCCGGCACGGGGAGGUAGUGACGAAAAAUAACAAUACGGGACUCUAACGAGGCUCCGUAAUUGGAAUGAGUACACUCUAAACCUUUUAACGAGGAUCUAUUGGAGGGCAAGUCUAGUGCCAGCAGCCGCGGUAACUCUAGCUCCAAUAGCGUAUAUUAAAGUUGUUGCGGUUAAAAAGCUCGUAGUUGGAUCUCAGUCGCGCUCCCAUCGAUACGUUGAAAGGCGUUUAUCGUUGGGGCCGACAGCACGUUGGUGGGCUCGGUUGGCCUUCACCGGUUGAUCGGGUUCUCCGGCAAUUUUACUUUGAAAAAAUUAGGGUGCUCAAAGCAGGCUGGUGCCUGGAUAUUGGUGCAUGGAAUAAUAGAAUAGGACCUCGGUUCUAUUUUGUUGGUUUUCGGAUCCCGAGGUAAUGAUUGAGAGGGACAGACGGGGGCAUUCGUAUUGCGGCGCUAGAGGUGAAAUUCUUGGACCGCUGCAAGACGAACUACUGCGAAAGCAUUUGCCAAGAAUGUUUUCAUUAAUCAAGAACGAAAGUUAGAGGUUCGAAGGCGAUCAGAUACCGCCCUAGUUCUAACCAUAAACGAUGCCAACCAGCGAUCCGCCUGAGUUCCUUAAACGACUCGGCGGGCAGCUUCCGGGAAACCAAAGUUUUUGGGUUCCGGGGGAAGUAUGGUUGCAAAGCUGAAACUUAAAGGAAUUGACGGAAGGGCACCACCAGGAGUGGAGCCUGCGGCUUAAUUUGACUCAACACGGGAAAACUCACCCGGCCCGGACACCGGAAGGAUUGACAGAUUGAUAGCUCUUUCUUGAUUCGGUGGAUGGUGGUGCAUGGCCGUUCUUAGUUGGUGGAGCGAUUUGUCUGGUUAAUUCCGAUAACGAACGAGACUCUAGCCUACUAAAUAGACCCACGGUCCUUAGUACCGUGAGCGGGUCUUCUUAGAGGGACAGGCGGCUUUUAGCCGCACGAAACAGAGCAAUAACAGGUCUGUGAUGCCCUUAGAUGUCCGGGGCCGCACGCGCGCUACACUGAAGGAAUCAGCAUGUGUCUACCCUUGUCCGAAAGGACCGGGUAACCCUCUGAACCUCCUUCGUGAUGGGGAUAGGGGAUUGUAAUUAUUCCCCUCGAACGAGGAAUUCCCAGUAAGCGCGAGUCAUCAGCUCGCGUUGAUUACGUCCCUGCCCUUUGUGCACACCGCCCGUCGCUACUACCGAUUGAAUGGUUUAGUGAGGUCUUCGGACUGUUUCAUCGAGCAGCUUGCUGUUCUUUGAUCCGGGAAGAUGAUCAAACUUGGCCAUUUAGAGGAAGUAAAAGUCGUAACAAGGUUGCC
rnacentral:rRNA from 1 species